CUGAUGUAGGAGAAGUGAGUGAAGAAGAAGUCAAAAAGCGAAGAAAUCUGAGGGGGAAACUCCUUCAGCUUUAAGAUUGCCGAGGCUCCUAAACUGACAAGGAAAACCUUUAACAUUUCCGAAGGCGAGACAGAAAGGCCUAAGUGAGGUUUGACAGGUAUCACAUUGAACGAAAGAUAUCACACUCUGGGAUAUCCUUUUUACGAUGUUAUAUAAAUAGCAAAGAAAUGUGUACUUGUAUAUUUUUGUGCUUAUCUCUCUCAUACUCUGUAUUUGUACUUUUCUCAAUAUCUUUGCUUUUACCUCUUAUAUUUCUUUAUUAUUUAGCCUUCUGCUCUCGUUCGUGCGUAUGAGUGAUUUUCUAUUAUAAUGUCUGAAUAUCUACAUAUCUGUUUGUAUGUAUCUGUUAAUUAACUUAACUCUCGUAGACAAUGACAAGAUGUGAGUGGUUUAAAUUAGGUUGGCAAGAUAUCGGCAAGUCCGACGGUUAUUUGGGUUCAGAGCCAAACGAAAAGACGAAUGGCGGUGAAGUAUUUUGUUUUUGAUGUAUUUAUUUUCGCAAAUUUUUGUUUGUUUUUUAACCCCUUCGAGUCCCACUGGUGGUAUUUCCGUCUCUCCACGGGGUAUAACACCACGCUUGGCUCGUAUCUAUUGAGUUGUAGGGUGGACAGCUACUGACUUAUGGAUCAAGCUACCAAUGUAUGUGUCGGGGUUAUUAUUUAUAUUGUAGCAGCGACGUAGGGAAAGACUCAGAAAACCUCUGUUUAUAUAGCAAGGCUAACCUGGUUUUUAGGUAGAAGGGGGCAGGAAGUUUUUGUUGGCCUGGGAUUGGAUUAGCUUGAAUAUGAAAAGAUGAAAGAAGCCAAAGGUAGCAAGGAACAUUUCAGUGUGUGGGAGCGGAAUAGGAGAGGUCCGGUAGGAUUUCUCCUAUGUUGCAAGGUUGUGGAAGUAGGUAGGGGUGAGUCUGAUAUCUAGGAUCAGGACCUGAAGAGCUUCUUUAUACGAAGUGAAUGGAGCAUGGAAGGUUUCGACUGAGAGUGAAGCUUGCUGAGAAAGUUAAACGAUGAUGAUGAUGACUAAGGUUAUCAGGUACCGAACUCCAUGACACACUGUACCUGGUAAUGCAAGGAGAAGGCAUGCGUGCUGGGUUGUGGGGCAACACGCUGCCGACUAAUAAAAGAAGUCGCUCCCGCCAUUGAUGAGAAGAUAAUGAAGUGGAGUAGAGAGAGAGAGAGAGAUGGAAGAGAGAAGAAAGACGGAGGGAAACAAUGGAAAAGUUGCUAAUCUUGCAGUUAGUAGUGAAAUGUGUUCUACAAGGAAAAUCCUUCACACACGAAUAUAGGUGUACAUAGAUAUAGAGAAUUGUAUAGAUAUUUCUGCCUCUUCUAGUCUAGGUUUUGCAUAAGAAUUUGCACUGGUUGAUACUGCACAUGCUAACUCAUGCAUGGCACACUUGUAACAACAACAACAACAAAAAUAUAACAGAACUAUUUUAGUCUUUCGGGUUGUUCAGUCGGCAAAAUAUCCAUUUGAGUGUGAGUGUAUGUAUGUGUGUAUAAUUUGAUCACAUUGCUAGAUCCAUUGUUAUUCGACGAGUUUUUUUUUUUUUAAACAAGGCUUCGUAAUCACUCCAAGAUGUCUAAAUAAAUGGCUUAUUCCUGCUAUUUUCUUUUGUUUUUUUCCCCCCUUCUUCUUUAGAUGCUACGUUUCGAGAGCAGCAAGUUGGCAGAGAACAGCGAGUAAAAGAAUUCCAACAUUAAAGGUUCGCUUCUCGUAGGCACACAAACAACAUCCUACAUUUGCUGGGAAAGACUACUUUGUUUCCUGGUGGCUACUAAUUUCAACGUUAUUGUCAUAAUUAUCUUCAUCUGAUGACGAGAUCGCGUGUGGUUCUUUCCGAAAGAGAUUUUCUUACAUAAAAUCACUGUCCUCAAA